rnacentral:rRNA from 1 species
CAGCAGCCGCGGUAAUACGUAGGGUGCAAGCGUUAUCCGGAUUCACUGGGUUUAAAGGGUGCGUAGGCGGGCAGGUAAGUCAGUGGUGAAAUCUUCGAGCUUAACUCGGAAACUGCCGUUGAUACUAUCUGUCUUGAAUAACGUUGAGGUGAGCGGAAUAUGUCAUGUAGCAGUGAAAUGCUUAGAUAUGACAUAGAACACCGAUUGCGAAGGCAGCUCACUAAACGCUCAUUGACGCUGAGGCACGAAAGCGUGGGGAUCAAACAGGAUUAGAGACCCCUGUAGUCCCUGUCUCUUAUAC